CAUCGGUGACAGGUGGUGGCAUGGUUGUCGUCAGCUCGUGUCGUGAGAUGUUGGUAGUCCCGCAACGAGCGCAACCCCUAUUGUUAGUUGCCAUCAUUCAGUUGGGCACUCUAGCGAGACUGCCGGUAAUAAACCGGAGGAAGGUGGGGAUGACGUCAAAUCAUCAUGCCCCUUAUGACCUGGGCUACACACGUGCUACAAUGGUUGGUACAACGAGUUGCGAGUCGGUGACGGCGAGCUAAUCUCUUAAAGCCAAUCUCAGUUCGGAUUGUAGGCUGCAACUCGCCUACAUGAAGUCGGAAUCGCUAGUAAUCGCGGAUCAGCACGCCGCGGUGAAUACGUUCCCGGGCCUU
rnacentral:rRNA from 1 species